rnacentral:piRNA from 1 species
UGUGUACCUGUUGUUUCUAGCUCUGUC